rfam:Gossypium arboreum cultivar AKA8401 contig_7258_3, whole genome shotgun sequence.
AUACUUACCUGGACGGGGUCAAUGAGCGAACAAUAAGGUUCAUGGCCUAGGGCAGUGACCUCCAUUGCACUUGGGAGGGGUGCUGCUUUAAGGUCUCCCCAAGUGGGAGAGCCUACGUCAUAAUUUGUGGCAGCGGGAGCCUGCGUUCGCGCGGCCCCUAC